ACCAGACUCCUACGGGAGGCAGCAGUGGGGAAUAUUGCACAAUGGGCGAAAGCCUGAUGCAGCGACGCCGCGUGAGUGAAGAAGUAUUUCGGUAUGUAAAGCUCUAUCAGCAGGGAAGAAAAUGACGGUACCUGACUAAGAAGCCCCGGCUAACUACGUGCCAGCAGCCGCGGUAAUACGUAGGGGGCAAGCGUUAUCCGGAUUUACUGGGUGUAAAGGGAGUGUAGGUGGCAUAACAAGUCAGAAGUGAAAGCCCGGGGCCCAACCCCGGGACUGCUCUUGGAACUGUGCGGCUGGAGUGCGGGAGGGGCAGGCGGAAUUCCUGGUGUAGCGGUGAAAUGCGUAGAUAUCAGGAGGAACACCGGCGGCGAAGGCGGCCUGCUGGACCGCGACUGACGUUGAGGCUCGAAAGCGUGGGGAGCGAACAGGAUUAGAUACCCUGGUA
rnacentral:rRNA from 1 species